rnacentral:rRNA from 1 species
GUCUUGUUGAUAAUAAUUUCAAGUCUAGCCUGCCCAAUGAAAAUUUAAAUGGCCGCGGUAUUCUAACCGUGCAAAGGUAGCAUAAUCAUUAGUUUUUUAAUUGAAAGCUUGCAUGAAGGGCUUGAUGAAAGAAUUUCUGUCUCUAGGAAAAUUUAUUAGAAUUUUAUUUUUAAGUGAGAAAGCUUAGAUUAGUAUAGAAGACGAGAAGACCCUAUAGAGUUUUAUAUUGAAAUUAAUUAUUGGUUUAAGGAUUUUUAGUACGAUUUUUCUUUUUAAUAUUUUAUUGGGGUGAUAGGAAAACUAAACUAACUUUUCUUUUUGUGAACAUUGAUUUAUGAAUAAAUGAUCCUAUUUAUAUAGAUUAUAAGGUUAAAUUACCUUAGGGAUAACAGCGUAAUUUUUCUUAGAGUUCUUAUCGAAAGAAGGGAUUGCGACCUCGAUGUUGGAUUAAAAUUAAUUUCUGGUGCAAAAGUUGGAAAAUUAAGUCUGUUCGACUUUUAAAAUUUUACAUGAUCUGAGUUUAAACCGGUGUGAG